GAAGUCUUCUUUUUUUAUCCCAUAUCGAGUUUUUAGUUGAUAGUCAUUAUCCCACAUCGAACGCUUACCCGAGAUACUUAUUUUUUCUCACAUAUAGUCUUUAUCCCACAUCGAACUCUUACCCGAAAUAUAUCUCUUUUCUCACCUAUAAAAGGUUAUAAGUUUCCUUUUUUUCCAUCUACCAAGUAAAAUAGUCAUUAUUUAAGGCUGUUUUUGGCUUUGCUAUAAUUUGGUGAAGUGGUCCAUCGUAUAUGGCGACGUGUAGGGCUGCACACAUUGUUCAGAGACGUUCAGUACCAAAUGUUGGAAAAGUGGAAGUAAAGACAGGGGAUGAUGAGGCUGGUGAUGACAUUGAUGAGAAGCCUCCUAAACAACGAGAACCGACGAGAUCAAACUUCUCGAGACGAAGCGCACAUCGUGGAAGGAUGGUAGAGAGCACUAUUGUGGGGGGUGGAAAGCAAACUACCGAGCGGAUAUUCUGAAAAUAGGUGACAAGCACAUCUUAUUAAUUUUAAAUUAUUUGAAUUUUGGUGGCAUAAAAUCGGUGUUUAAAAAUCUUUGGGGUUAGGUAAGAUGCAAAAAAAAGAAUAAAAGAUAAUGAAACGAAUUUUGGAAAAUAGCAUUUAAUAUUAUUUGCCAAGUUGAAUUUGGUGGCAAACUCACAUAAGAAUUUGGGGAAAUAGCAUUUAAUAUAAUUUGCCACCUUUUCAACGGUACGGUGCAGAGCUCAUGAAAACAAGGUUCAUUCCACCAUCCCCAAAUCCUUAUUUCGUGACCAAAAAAAAGAAGAGGCAGAGCUUAUGAAUUAGUAAGCACACACGACCCAUUUGUAUAGUAUUUUGAUAGAACCUACCAUUUAUUGACCAACAUGUUGCUACUACAAUGAUAGUAUAUACCUGUGGAUGCGAUCAAAAGCUACAACCUGAAACUCCCUGAGAAUGUGACGCUCAUCGACCCAAAAGGAAGGCCAAACGCAAGAUGUGGACGGACCAGAGGAUGUUCUACAUCGGAGGCUGGAAAAGCCUUUGUGAAGUGAACAAUGUGGAAGACAAAGACUCGUGCAUCUGCGAGUUCUUGUAUAAUGCCGACGAUCUAUGCAUCAGCGUAAGCUUCUUUCCCCCAAAAUAGCAGCAAUGCUAGAAUGGAGUGGAUUAGAUUGGUAUUGAGGAGUUCACAUUUGUAUAGUUUCAGAGGUAUUGUUAAGCAUCUGAGUUUUCUGAGUUGUUCUUUGUAUAUGAUUUUAGGGAGUAUGAUUUGUUGUUUCAAUCAAUAGUUAUUCCAAUCAAUAAAAUUGUGGUGUAUAUAGAAAAUUGUUGUUCUUAGUAUUAAUAAGAGAUCAUUGCACAUUAAA